AAGUCGUAACAAGGUUUCCGUAGGUGAACCUGCGGAAGGAUCAUUAACGAGUAAGGGUCGUCCGGGCCUGACCUCCAACCCUUUGUUUACCAAACCAUGUUGCUUUGGCGGGCCCGCCCCUCGUGGGCCGCCGGCGGUGUCACCACCUCUGGCCUGCGCCCGCCAAUAGCCUUCUAAAAUUCUCUGAACUGUGUUUGUCUGAGCCUAAAUAAAAAUUGUUAAAACUUUCAACAACGGAUCUCUUGGUUCUG
rnacentral:misc_RNA from 1 species